GGGUCAGGAGGUUGGUCGUGCCACCGGUACGUACUGGUCUCACUGAUUCCUCCUUCCUGAAGAACCGUAAUGCCAUUAAUUUGGUGUUGCGGGGAAACAGGACUGUUACUUUGAAAAAAUUAGAGUGCUUAAAGCAAGCUAACGCUUGAAUACAUUAGCAUGGAAUAAUGAAAUAGGACGAUCGAUCCUAUUUUGUUGGUUUCUAGGAUUGACGUG
rnacentral:rRNA from 1 species